rnacentral:rRNA from 1 species
CGCUGGCGGCGUGCCUAACACAUGCAAGUCGAACGAGAUCCAUGGGAGCUUGCUCCCGGAAGAUCUAGUGGCGAACGGGUGAGUAACACGUGAGAAACCUGCCCUGGAGUGGGGAAUAACUCGGGGAAACUCGAGCUAAUACCGCAUACCCUCGGAUGGUCGCAUGGCCGACCGAGGAAAGAUUUAUCGCUCUAGGAGGGUCUCGCGGCCUAUCAGCUAGUUGGUGGGGUAACGGCCUACCAAGGCAACGACGGGUAGCUGGUUUGAGAGAACGAUCAGCCACACUGGGACUGAGACACGGCCCAGACUCCUACGGGAGGCAGCAGUGGGGAAUCUUGCGCAAUGGGCGAAAGCCUGACGCAGCAACGCCGCGUGCGGGAUGACGGCCUUCGUGGUUGUAAACCGCUUUCAGCAGGGACGAAAACGACGGUACCUGCAGAAGAAGCCCCGGCUAACUACGUG